ACAACUCCUGAAGGACCAGAGUUUGGGAAACACUGCACUUUAGGCCCACCUGAACUGCUCUCACUCAAUGCUAUGGAAUCCUGGGAGUUGUAGCAUUACAAAGACUUCUCUGCCCAAUUAUGAUUGGUCCCUCCCCAACUAAAAUUCCUAUAGCAUCGAGCCAUUGCAAUGUUUGAAAGCAGGAAAGACAAGGCCAAGCAUUAAACUACUUAAGAAUUGCUUUGAAUUAUACCCGAUGGAUGAAGCCCCAGGCCUUAGUAUCAUCUGUUUGACCCAUCUUUUAAUGACUGCAGCAUUCCAUUGCAAUGUAUCAUGUGGACAAAAUGACUUCAACACCAAGGCAGCUUUUUUCUGCUAUCUUUGAAAGGGUGAUCAUGAGAAGCAAUGAACACAUCAAAAAAGAAAGCGGUGAUGUGACAAAGACAUUUGCCUUCUGUACCAUGUGUGUUGGUGCGCAUGUGCAUGGCGGGAUGGAGAGAAAUACAGGUAUGUGAAUUUUUUGUUACAUAUAUAAUUUAAAUGUUAGCAGCAAGCAGCCUGCUGGUUUCUAAGCUAGAAAUAAACCAACAUCCACAAUUGUGAAACACCCCUGUAAGGAACAAGGUAACUUAAUGCGCAAAACAGCACAAAGAUUACUUUGAGACAUGAUCUUAGGGUAAGAGGUUUUCCAUAAAACACCCAGAAGCAUAUGUGAUAUGCUUUUAUUGCCCAUAAAGUUUGGAAACGUGACAUUUUUGGCCUGCAACUCUCAGUAUCUCCCAGCCUGUUGAUACACUCUUAAAAACUAAUUUCUGCAAACUGUGGUUUUAUGCAGCUACUUUUGUGCAGCAACAAAUGGUCCUGGAUGAGAAUGGAAAUAUGUUGAAAAGCCACCAUAAUACAACUCAGGUAUUCUUCCUAAUGAAAAUAGCAGAGUGGGAAAAUCUUGUUUAAGCCAUCCAGAUCUGAGAUGAAGCUUAAUUGUGGUGAAUCUUGUUCACCAAUUGCACUAUUCUGGGUACGUGAGAGAUACUGGAUCACACAACUGUCUGAUUAUAUAAUGGAUAGAAUAGAUGUGUUAUCCUCUGCUACAACUAUUAAUCCAAUCCCUGAUACCCAACAACAGUGAGUUAUUGGGCAACUUACUGAAAGCAUGGUAUGUAGGUCAGCUGAUGAUAGGGAAAUAAAAGAGGUGGGCACUGGGGCUGAAAAUGAUGGUAUAAUGUA